rnacentral:rRNA from 1 species
GACGAACGCUGGCGGCGUGCCUAAUACAUGCAAGUCGAGCGAACUUUUUAAAAGCUUGCUUUUAAAAAGUUAGCGGCGGACGGGUGAGUAACACGUGGGCAACCUGCCCUGUAGACUGGGAUAACCUCGGGAAACCGAAGCUAAUACCGGAUAAUCAGUAGAAGCACCUACUUCUAUUGUAAAAGUUGGGAUACUAACACUACAGGAUGGGCCCGCGGCGCAUUAGCUAGUUGGUAAGGUAAUGGCUUACCAAGGCGACGAUGCGUAGCCGACCUGAGAGGGUGAUCGGCCACACUGGGACUGAGACACGGCCCAGACUCCUACGGGAGGCAGCAGUAGGGAAUCUUCCGCAAUGGACGAAAGUCUGACGGAGCAACGCCGCGUGAACGAUGAAGGCCUUCGGGUCGUAAAGUUCUGUUGUUAGGGAAGAACAAGUACCGUUCGAAUAGGGCGGUACCUUGACGGUACCUAACCAGAAAGCCACGGCUAACUACGUG